ACUGCCGUGAUGAUAAUGGACUGAACCUCUGAACCUCAACUUGAGGGAAAAAGGAUCUAUUUGACUUACAGGUUACAGAGUCUAUCACUGAGCAAAGUCCAGGCAGGAACCUGGAGGCAGGAACUGAAGCAGAGACUACGAAGAGAUGUUUUUUACUGACUUGCUCAGCUAUCCAGCCGAGGCCAACCUACCUGAGGAUUGGUACCACCCAUGACAGGAAGAAAAUGCCCUCAUAGACACGUCCACACGUCCCUGCGAAGAGGGAAUCUCAGUUGAGGAUUUACCUUCAUCCGAUUGGCUCAGUUUACCCUGGACUCUCCCAGGUGUCUCUGUCUCCGGCUAUGCUCUUCCUCAUAUCUAUAAUAAAAAUCUCUGUACUUUAGGAGGAGUCCUGUCCUCCUUCCUCUUUA